rnacentral:rRNA from 1 species
AUUGAACGCUGGCGGCAUGCCUUACACAUGCAAGUCGAACGGUAGAGUAGCAAUACUUGAGAGUGGCGAACGGGUGAGUAAUGCAUCGGAACAUGCCCAGUCGUGGGGAUAACGUAGCGAAAGUUACGCUAAUACCGCAUACGAUCUAUGGAUGAAAGCGGGGGACUCGCAAGAGCCUCGCGCGAUUGGAGUGGCCGAUGUCAGAUUAGGUAGUUGGUGGGGUAAAAGCCCACCAAGCCAACGAUCUGUAGCUGGUCUGAGAGGACGACCAGCCACACUGGGACUGAGACACGGACAAGACUCCGACGGGAGGCAGCAGUGGGGAAUUUUGGACAAUGGACGAAAGUCUGAUCCAGCAAUGCCGCGGGCAGGACGAAGGCAUUCGGGUUGUAAACUGCUUUUGUACGGAGCGAAAAGCUUUGGAUUAAUACUCCGAGGUCAUGACGGUACCGUAAGAAUAAGCACCGGCUAACUACGUGCCAGCAGCCGCCGUAA